rnacentral:rRNA from 1 species
UACGUAGGGUGCAAGCGUUAAUCGGAAUUACUGGGCGUAAAGCGUGCGCAGGCGGUUUUGUAAGUUCUGUCGUGAAAGCCCCGGGCUCAACCUGGGAAUUGCGAUGGAGACUGCAAGGCUUGAAUCUGGCAGAGGGGGGGUAGAAUUCCACGUGUAGCAGUGAAAUGCGUAGAGAUGUGGAGGAACACCGAUGGCGAAGGCAGCCCCCUGGGUCAAGAUUGACGCUCAUGCACGAAAGCGUGGGGAGCAAACAGG